rnacentral:rRNA from 1 species
AAAAACAUAACUAUAUGGUGUGCAUAUAUAGCAAUCUCUGCUCAAUGAUAAGUUAAAUAGCCGCAGUAAUUUGACUGUGCAAAGGUAGCAUAAUCAAUUGGCUUAUAAUUGAAGCCUAGUAUGAAAGGGAACAUGGGGGUUUUCUGUAUCCUGGAUGUAUUAUAAAAUUACUAAUUGGGUGAAAAUUCCCAUAGAGAAAUAAUAGACGAGAAGACCCUAGAAAUUUUGAGGACAUAUAUAAAUAGUGGGUUUUUGUUGGGGCGACAUAGUAGCAUGUAACCUACUUUACUACAUAUGAUUAAAUUGUUAAGAUAAAAUAAAUUACUCUAGGGAUAACAGCAUAAUAUUUAAAAGUUUGUGACCUCGAUGUUGGACUAGGGAAAAAUAGCCCAGAAGGUUAAUUUAUAUGCUCUGUUCGAGCAGCAUCCCCUACGUGAUCUGA